rnacentral:rRNA from 1 species
GAUGAACGCUGGCGGCGUGCCUAACACAUGCAAGUCGAGCGGACAGAUGAGUAGCUUGCUCCUCUGACGUUAGGCGCGGGCGGGUGAGAAACACGUGGACAACCCACCUAUUGGACUGUAAUCCCUUGGAGACAGGGGAGCUACUACCUGCGAAUUUCGUGAAACGCAGGGUGCCAUAGUGAAAGACGGUUUUGCUGUCACUUAUUGAUUGAUCCGCGCCUCAUUAGCUAGUUGGCAAGGUAACGGCUUACCAAGGCGACGAUGCGUAGCCGACCUGAGAGGGUGAUCGGCCACACUGGAACUGAGACACGGCCCAGACUCCUACGGGAGGCAGCAGUAGGGAAUCUUCCGCAAUGGGCGAAAGCCUGACGGAGCAACGCCGCGUGAGUGAUGAAGGCCUUCGGGUCGUAAAACUCUGUUAUUAGGGAAGAACAAAUUUGCAAGUAACUAUGCGGGGCUUGACGGUACCGGAUCAGAAAGCCACGGCUAACUACGUG